UUAUACAGCGAAACUGCGAAUGGCUCAUUAUAUAAGUUAUCGUUUAUUUGAUAGUACCUUACUACUUGGAUAACCGUGGUAAUUCUAGAGCUAAUACAUGCUAAAAAUCCCGACUUCGGAAGGGAUGUAUUUAUUAGAUUAAAAACCAAUGCCCUCUGGGCUCCUUGGUGAUUCAUAAUAACUUUUCGAAUCGCAUGGCCUUGCGCCGGCGAUGGUUCAUUCAAAUUUCUUCCCUAUCAACUUUCGAUGUUUGGGUAUUGGCCAAACAUGGUCGCAACGGGUAACGGAGGGUUAGGGCUCGACCCCGGAGAAGGAGCCUGAGAAACGGCUACUACAUCCAAGGAAGGCAGCAGGCGCGCAAAUUACCCAAUCCCGAUUCGGGGAGGUAGUGACAAUAAAUACUGAUACAGGGCUCUUUUGGGUCUUGUAAUUGGAAUGAGUACAAUUUAAAUCUCUUAACGAGGAACAAUUGGAGGGCAAGUCUGGUGCCAGCAGCCGCGGUAAUUCCAGCUCCAAUAGCGUAUAUUAAAGUUGUUGUGGUUAAAAAGCUCGUAGUUGAACCUUGGGCCUGGCUGGCCGGUCCGCCUCACCGCGUGUACUGGUCCGGCCGGGCCUUUCCCUCUGUGGAACCCCAUGCCCUUCACUGGGUGUGGCGGGGAAACAGGACUUUUACUUUGAAAAAAUUAGAGUGCUCCAGGCAGGCCUAUGCUCGAAUACAUUAGCAUGGAAUAAUGAAAUAGGACGUGUGGUUCUAUUUUGUUGGUUUCUAGGACCGCCGUAAUGAUUAAUAGGGACAGUCGGGGGCAUCAGUAUUCAAUUGUCAGAGGUGAAAUUCUUGGAUUUAUUGAAGACUAACUACUGCGAAAGCAUUUGCCAAGGAUGUUUUCAUUAAUCAGGAACGAAAGUUAGGGGAUCGAAGACGAUCAGAUACCGUCGUAGUCUUAACCAUAAACUAUGCCGACUAGGGAUCGGACGAUGUUAUUUUUUGACGCGUUCGGCACCUUACGAGAAAUCAAAGUGCUUG
rnacentral:rRNA from 1 species